UCCGUUAUGGUGUAGUGGCUAACAUUAUCGCCUCUCAUUCCACGGUAAAAUGGAAUCUGAGUACGCGAUAGCCCAGGGUUCGAAUCCCUGUAACCGAA